rnacentral:lncRNA from 1 species
CCAGCCACGAGAUCUUCAAUUUAAGCUGCUCCUCGCCACUUGCCCAUCAACCAGCAUCUCUCGGUCAACACCUGCAAGAACGAAGCCGUUGGUUGACCGCUUGAAGCCCACGACUCCACCGAGUUCCUUCACGUUGCCACCUGCCCGCUCCUCCUUCUGCUUCGGUCAUCAAACGAAACCGCCGAAGCCCAAGUCCAACGUCUUCAGCCCGAGCAUAUCGUGGAGUCCACGAAGACAGCGUCCAUGAGCAGCUCCCAUCUUUAGUCUUCCCCUGUGGCGUGCCCUCAGCUCCACGCCAGCACGCCAGUCAACUCCAACGCCCACGGAAGACCACCGAUUCAACCAAGUCUUCAUCUGCGAAAUCCUCCGAGCAUCCUCACGCCGCCAGCAACAUCCACCGAGCAACACCACCGAAGAGAAGCCGCACGUAUCCACCGAAUUCUGCCGUUUGUCCGUGCUUCCCUCCACGCGUCCGAGCCCCAACUCAUUCGGUCCAUCAUCUCGCCGUGAAGCCUCGAGAUCCACCGAGUUGCCAACCGUUGCCAGCG